GCCCAUUCUGACCGAAUUGCAUAGCAAUCUGACCUGCCUGAAUGUUCUCAUGAACAAUAGCAGGAGUAACAUCUGGACCAAAAUCUGUUCUUUCAGUAUUUGGUAUACGCAACUGUGUGAUUCUUGGUCCAGCUAAGAGAAUUCCUUGGCUUGGAUUAUAUGGUGUAAAUUCGUGUGUGGCUAUUUGAUGGCUAACAUCAUUGGAAGUCUGACCAUGCAGAAAUCCUGACAUGUCCACUGAAGCCUGCUUCAAAAUUGAUAACAGUGUCUUAGAGUAAUUUUAUGUUUUCUGAUCCAUUACUAAAAUUCAUAUUUAAAACAUUACUA